rnacentral:rRNA from 1 species
UACGGAGGGGGCCAGCGUUGUUCGGAAUUAUUGGGCGUAAAGGGCGCGUAGGCGGGAUGGCAAGUCGGUCGUGAAAUCCUUCGGCUCAACCGAAGAACGUCGGCCGAUACUGCCGUUCUUGAGGGAUGCAGAGGAGAUUGGAAUUCCCGGUGUAGCGGUGAAAUGUGUAGAGAUCGGGAGGAACACCGGUGGCGAAGGCGGGUCUCUGGGCAUCUCCUGACGCUGAGGCGCGAAAGCGUGGGGAGCAAUCGGG